GCAAACCGCCGAUUGUUAUUUUCGCUCUGGAAACCUAACUACCAAAAGAGGAGAAAUAUCAGAUUCAUCUCUAAUACUGUAACUGAUCAGAAGAAGAAGACAAUAUUGAAGGUGGAAGGAGAUGGAAACAUGAUAGCAUCAGGGUAAAUUUGGUGAUGAUAGUAAUUGGGUUUGCAGUAAGUACGAUGUUUAUUUUAUUUGUAUAUACAAGACUCGUGUGUGCUAGAAUUCAGUUGAAUACUGCUAGGCGUUCAUUUCCAGCAGCUACAAGAUCUGAUAUCGGAAUGGUAGUUUGCACCUUCCUUCUCGGAAUUCAGUUGAAUGCUGCCAGGCGUUCAUUUCCAGCAGCUACAUGAUAUAAUGAGAUUAAUUAUGUUGGUCUUGUGUAAUUUCUACUGAAUUGGAAUGUAUUCUUUUGGUUUUCUGUUUGAUUGGCACCAUCCAAGUGUUAGUAACAUAUAGAAGCCCUUGAAAUCACUGAAAUACUAAAAAUUUGGGUAAACUGUGUGCUUUUUGUUCAGUCUGUGGGGGGUUUACCCUGUUGUUUUGACUGGACAAUUGAACUAAGUAACUGAAAUGUGUUUAACUGAAAUAUGUUUUUCAAGGCUUGUGCUGUCUCUGUUAAUAGAUAGCCAUAUCUAUUAGUUGGUAAUUAAAAUAUAUGGGAACAAGAAAUCCCUGCUAAUUUUCAAGGUGAUUUUCUUCAAAAAAAUUGGAUUUUUUGAAGACCAAAAAUUGGCUAGUUACUUCGAAUGAUUCCUUUUAUGGUUCAGUUCUUGUGCGAAUAAAUGAUUAGGGGGCACAAUAACAUAACUUCUGUCCAAAUCUUGCAUAAGUAUGUUCUUUGCUUGACUUUCAGCCUCUGCGUGUCAGGUGAAUAUGACUAGUUUAUGCGAUAGACUCCAUGUUUAGACUAAUUUAUUUGGAAGGUGCAAUUUGUUGUAUUUUAGUAAUGUAAUAGGUGGUUCUAGACUUUGUAAUUUGUUCAUCACGAAUAUAAGAUUGGGGAUUCUGUGCUCGAUGCAGCUUCUGGGGACAUAACUUACCAUGACCUAGAUUAAGAGUGUUUACUUUUUAACUGAGUUUUGUGGCUUAAUUACUACUCUACAUAUGUAUCCUGCUUAUCCAUACAGAUAAACGUACAAGCUUUGGAUUUUUCCUGUAUCAGUCCCCUGUAAGUAAUAUAUUUUCAUUUCAUAGUUCUUAUAUCAGUCCCCUUGUUCGCAAUUAAUUCAGUUCCUGAUACUCGUUGUAGCUUUGUCAGCUCCACCUCCACCACUGAAAUUUCGUGCAAGAGUCAUAAGCCCCUUUUUCUCGCAAGUGUUUAGGAUUAGACCAUCUUAAAAAAAUUUAUUGCCUGGUAUGCAAGCACUGUGGUAGAUAAUUUCCAGGUUCUUAAAGUUGAGCCGGAAUUAGAUUGAAACAUUUAAUCGCUAUCUUUAUUAAUCUCAUCUCGGAAUUCAGUUGAAUGUUGCUAGGCGUUCAUUUAAACUCCGACUUCUCUCAGCACACUACUACUGUCUCAAUCUAUCUCAACUGCAACUGAGUUGUUGAAUUAAAAAAGCUUUUAAUUUGUUGAACGAUUUCCAACCCCAUCUCGUCUACAUCAACUUGUAUCACUCCCUUGAUAAAGGGUUAUUGGAUUUGAGUUUUAUUUACCGCGCCACACGAUUGAGCCUUUCGUGAUCUGCGUGUGAUUACGAAUAUAUGUGUAACAUGUUUCUGAAGAAAAUCUAUUUUUCACAAGCUGGAACCUGGGAGGAGAAGAACCUUAAUUCCUGGCUAGUGGUCGGAUAAAGGUUAACUUGAACAUGAAGUGAUGUCUGUUAGA